UUAGUGCACACUCUACUAAUCUUUUGUUCAUCUGAAGAUAAAUUCACUCUGUUAUUUGCUCGUUUACCUUCUGAAACAUUAUUGGACAUCCUGUUUGCACAUGUUUUUUGCAUAUCAGCAUGCUGUUUUUUUUAUAACUUUAUUUAUUUAUUAUGUGCUUUUAAUCUGGUGGUCACACUGUAUGCUCUGUUUGUUAUUUAUGAUCAUUUAGUGUAAGCUUGCUGUUCUGAUAGGUACAUGGUCCUGGAGCUGACAUAGAUACGUUAUGUGUUGGGCCAUCCUAUGUGAAUAGGGAGGUAGAUUUCUUCUUUAUACUACAUGACAUUCUGGCUGAGAUGGAAGAAGUUACAGAACUGCAACCAGUUCCAAAUGCUCAUGUGCCAGUUAUGAAA